rnacentral:rRNA from 1 species
GACGAACCGUGCGAACGUUGUUCGGAUUCACUGGGCUUAAAGGGCGCGUAGGCGGGUCACCAAGUCCGGGGUGAAAUCUUUCGGCUCAACCGGAAAAUUGCCUGGGAUACUGGUGGCCUUGAGGGAGGUAGGGGCAUGCGGAACUUCCGGUGGAGCGGUGAAAUGCGUAGAUAUCGGAAGGAACGCCGGUGGCGAAAGCGGCGUGCUGGACCUCUUCUGACGCUGAGGCGCGAAAGCCAGGGGAGCAAACGGG